AAUAUGACUCUCGGCAACGGAUAUCUCGGCUCUCGCAUCGAUGAAGAACGUAGCAAAAUGCGAUACCUGGUGUGAAUUGCAGAAUCCCGUGAACCAUCGAGUUUUUGAACGCAAGUUGCGCCCGAGACCUUCUGGUUGAGGGCACGUCUGCCUGGGCGUCACGC
rnacentral:rRNA from 1 species